GACGAACGCUGGCGGCGUGCCUAAUACAUGCAAGUUGAGCGCUGAAGGUUGGUACUUGUACCAACUGGAUGAGCAGCGAACGGGUGAGUAACGCGUGGGGAAUCUGCCUUUGAGCGGGGGACAACAUUUGGAAACGAAUGCUAAUACCGCAUAAAAACUUUAAACACAAGUUUUAAGUUUGAAAGAUGCAAUUGCAUCACUCAAAAAUGAUCCCGCGUUGUAUUAGCUAGUUGGUGAGGUAAAGGCUCACCAAGGCGAUGAUACAUAGCCGACCUGAGAGGGGGAUCGGCCACAUUGGGACUGAGACACGGCCCAAACUCCUACGGGAGGCAGCAGUAGGGAAUCUUCGGCAAUGGACGAAAGUCUGACCGAGCAACGCCGCGUGAGUGAAGAAGGUUUUCGGAUCGUAAAACUCUGUUGGUAGAGAAGAACGUUGGUGAGAGUGGAAAGCUCAUCAAGUGACGGUAACUACCCAGAAAGGGACGGCUAACUACGUG
rnacentral:rRNA from 1 species